AAACGAAGCUCUAAAAUUUUAAGAGACUUUGCUGGGCCAUGCAAAUAAUGAUGUUUCCGCCUCAGUCUCUCAAUUAGAGAGGAUCCUCCAGCACAGAAUUUCUGCCAAACAAGCUGAUUUUCUUGGAGUUGAUGUAUCGAGGGAGGAGAUCAAAACUACUAUGUUCUUUUUGCCCGAGAACAAAGCUCCGGGUCCCGUGGUUUCCCCGCUGAAUUCUUUCAAUCUACUUGGGACGUCACGUUGUCUUCUGUGGAACAAGCUUUACUAGAGUUCUUCUCUUAUGGCAGGCUAUUUAAGUAGGUAAACUCCACUAUUAUCACUCUGGUCCCUAGGAAGUUGAAUGCAGAUAAAAUGAGGGACUUUAGGCCUAUCUCAUGUUGUAAUACAUUGUACAAAUUCAUCAUUAAAUUGACCGCAAAUAGAUUAAAAUGUGUGGUGCCCUCUCUUGUAAGUAGGAAUCAAAGUGCUUUUAUAAAGGAGAGGCAGAUUUCUGAUAAUAUUCUGCUAGCCCACGAGCUUCUUUUUGAAAUUAUCACGCAAAAGAAAUGAGCCCACGUUGUGCCAUCAGGAUAGACCUCACGAAAACUUUUGAUUCUCUCGAUUGGAGUUUCCUCUGUAAUUUGUUACAGGCCGUGGGCUGUCCAGAUAGGUUGAUCAAGUGGAUAUCUGCUUGUAUUACUUCCCCUUGGUAUUCUGUUGCCAUGAACGGAUCGCUUCCAGGACAUUUUAAGGGUGGAAAGGGUGUGAGGCAAGGGUCCAUUGGGUGGCUUGGAUAAGGAAUUAUAUGCUUAAGGGGCAGAACUUAUGGCAGGCUAAUCCUCAGAGGAAUAGCUCAUGGAGUUGGCGGAAGAUAUUAAAGCUGAGAGAGAUCGCAAAAUCUCUUGCAAGCUAUAAGGUGGGGGACUAGGGAAAGCAUUUCCUUCUGAUUCGACAAAUGGUGUGAGGAGGGUCCGUUGGUUGACCUCUGCACAUCAGGUUUUAGAUGCUUCCCUACAAUUCCGAGAUGUGGAAAGAUAUUUGCCCAAGCAGGUCAAGAGUGGAGUGGCACAAGCUUAUAUGGUUCUUUGGUCAUGUCCCGAGAGCAUCUUUUAUUUGUUGGCUCGCGCUGCUUGAUAGGCUUACAACAACGGACAUGUUGAAGAAGUGGGGUCAUUUGGUUACUGAUGGUUGUUGCUGUUUUUGUCAAAUGGAGGAGGAAAAUAGAAGUCAUCUAUCUUUUACAUGCUCAUUUACGAAGAGCAUAUGGGAGAAAAUCAGGAAUAUUUUGUUCCUUGCAGGUCCAACAGGGGAUUGGGAUAAGGAAUACAAUGAAGCUCUCGAAUGGAAGGGUAAGAAGCUGGAAACUAUAAUUAAGAAACUGGCAUGGACAGUUUAUAUAUACAUCGUUUGGAGCGAGAGGAAUGUCCGUAUCUUUCAGGGAAGGGCAAAAUCUGCAGAGGUCUUAACUUGCUCUGAAGAUUUUGUGCAGUUCUUUUAUUGAUUUAUUUCGUUCAAGAGAGUUGCUGUAAUUGAGUGUUUGAGAUUGUUGCUGUACUUGGGUGUUUGAGUGAGGUGCUAUAUUUGGGUGGAUUGUAAGUCAAGACAUUGUACUUAUUUCGGUUUGAAUAGAU